GUGGGGAGCAAACAGGAUUAGAUACCCUGGUAGUCCACGCCGUAAACGAUGAGUGCUAAGUGUUAGGGGGUUUCCGCCCCUUAGUGCUGCAGCUAACGCAUUAAGCACUCCGCCUGGGGAGUACGACCGCAAGGUUGAAACUCAAAGGAAUUGACGGGGGCCCGCACAAGCGGUGGAGCAUGUGGUUUAAUUCGAAGCAACGCGAAGAACCUUACCAGGUCUUGACAUCCUUUGACCACUCUGGAGACAGAGCUUUCCCUUCGGGGACAAAGUGACAGGUGGUGCAUGGUUGUCGUCAGCUCGUGUCGUGAGAUGUUGGGUUAAGUCCCGCAACGAGCGCAACCCUUGAUUUUAGUUGCCAGCAUUUAGUUGGGCACUCUAAAGUAACUGCCGGUGCAAGCCGGAGGAAGGUGGGGAUGACGUCAAAUCAUCAUGCCCCUUAUGACCUGGGCUACACACGUGCUACAAUGGAUAGUACAAAGGGUCGCGAAGCCGCGAGGUGGAGCUAAUCCCAUAAAACUAUUCUCAGUUCGGAUUGUAGGCUGCAACUCGCCUACAUGAAGCCGGAAUCGCUAGUAAUCGUGGAUCAGCAUGCCACGGUGAAUACGUUCCCGGGCCUUGUACACACCGCCCGUCACACCACGAGAGUUUGUAACACCCGAA
rnacentral:rRNA from 1 species